GUGGGUAUAGCCCAGUGGUAGAGUGCCUGCUUGGCAUGCACGAGGUCCUGGGUUCAUUCCCUAGUGCCUCCG
rnacentral:tRNA from 1 species